CCUACGGGUGGCAGCAGUGAGGAAUAUUGGUCAAUGGACGCAAGUCUGAACCAGCCAUGCCGCGUGCAGGAUGACUGCCCUAUGAGUUGUAAACUUCUUUUGUAAAAGAGUAAACCUGGAUACGUGUAUUCUGCUGAAAGUACUUUACGAAUAAGGAUCGGCUAACUCCGUGCCAGCAGCCGCGGUAAUACGGAGGAUCCAAGCGUUAUCCGGAUUUAUUGGGUUUAAAGGGUGCGUAGGUGGAUUGAUAAGUUAGAGGUGAAAUGUCCGAGCUUAACUCUGGAACUGCAUUUGAUACUGGUGGUCUAGAGAGCAGAUGCGGUAGGCGGAAUGCAUGGUGUAGCGGUGAAAUGCUUAGAUAUCACACAGAACACCGAUUGCGAAGGCAGCUUACUAAUCUACCACUGACGUUGAGGCACGAAAGUGUGGGGAUCAAACAGGAUUAGAUACCCCAGUAGUC
rnacentral:rRNA from 1 species